UUUUCCUUACCGUGUAGCUUAGA
rnacentral:miRNA from 1 species